rnacentral:lncRNA from 1 species
AGGCUAUCAGCCACCACCAGGAGGGACCCGCCAAUCCUUGGUUCGUGGAUUUAUUUACAGCGAAAACACGCAAACACAUAGGAGAAAAAGUUUUUUUUAUAUAGUAAAAGAAAGUUCAAAAAGGUACCAAAAAGCUAGGAGAGAAAAACAAAUCAGUGGGCGAUUUUGGAUCCGAUGGAUCGUUAAGCAUGAGGAUUGUAAUAAAUCCGUGGUUGGUUAGCAUUUGGUCACAUGACUGCUUUUCUUCGCCUC